GACGAACGCUGGCGGCGUGCUUAACACAUGCAAGUCGAACGGAGAUUCAGCAAUGGAUCUUAGUGGCGAACGGGUGAGUAACGCGUAGGCAAUCUGCCUUCUAGAUGGGGACAACAUCCCGAAAGGGGUGCUAAUCCCGAAUGUUGUACCGUUUCCGCAUGGAGUUGAUACUAAAGGCGGCCUCCGAAUAUGCUACCGCUAGAAGAUGAGCCUGGGUCUGAUUAGCUAGUUGGAGGGGUAACGGCCCACCAAGGCUUCGAUCAGUAGCCGGUCUGAGAGGAUGAACGGCCACACUGGGACUGAGACACGGCCUAGACUCCUAGGGGAGGCAGCAGUGGGGAAUCUUCCGCAAUGGGCGAAAGUCUGACGGAGCAACGCCGCGUGAGUGAAGAAGGUUUUCGGAUCGUAAAGCUCUUUCGUUAGGGACGAACGUGCUCUUUGUGAAUAAUGAGGAGUAAUGACGGUACCUAAAUAAGAAGCCACGGCUAACUACGUGCCAGCCGCCGCAGUAA
rnacentral:rRNA from 1 species